rnacentral:rRNA from 1 species
AUUGAACGCUGGCGGCAUGCCUUACACAUGCAAGUCGAACGGCAGCACGGGAGCUUGCUCCUGGUGGCGAGUGGCGAACGGGUGAGUAAUACAUCGGAACGUACCCUGAAGUGGGGGAUAACGUAGCGAAAGUUACGCUAAUACCGCAUAUUCUGUGAGCAGGAAAGAGGGGGGAUCGCAAGACCUCUUGCUUUAGGAGCGGCCGAUGUCGGAUUAGCUAGUUGGUGAGGUAAAGGCUCACCAAGGCGACGAUCCGUAGCUGGUCUGAGAGGACGACCAGCCACACUGGAACUGAGACACGGUCCAGACUCCUACGGGAGGCAGCAGUGGGGAAUUUUGGGACAAUGGGCGCAAGCCUGAUCCAGCCAUUCCGCGUGAGUGAAGAAGGCC